AAAAAUCACCAUGCCACCCUGAACAAGCCCGAUCCCGUCUGAUUUUGGAAGCUAAGCAGGGUAGGGCCUGGUUAGUACUUGAAUGGGAGACCACCUAAGAAGACCAGGUGCUGUAGGCA
rnacentral:rRNA from 1 species